GAUGAAGAACGCAGCGAAAUGCGAUACUUGGUGUGAAUUGCAGAAUCCCGUGAACCAUCGAGUCUUUGAACGCAAGUUGCGCCCGAAGCCAUUAGGCCGAGGGCACGCCUGCCUGGGCGUCACACGUCGUUGCCCCCCCAUCUACUCCUUCGGGAUUGCGGGGGGCGGAUGAUGGCCUCCCGUGCGCCUAGUCGCGCGGUUGGCAUAAAUACCAAGUCCUCGGCGACGCACGCCACGACAAUCGGUGGUUGCGAAACCUCGGUUGCCCGUCGUGUGCGUUCGUCGCGCAUCGAGGGCUCGAAAAAAUGCUCGGCUCCGGCUGGGCUUUCAACGCGACCCCAGGUCAGGCGGGGUUACCCGCUGAAUUUAAGCAUAUCAAUAAGCGGAGGA
rnacentral:misc_RNA from 1 species